ACUCAGCUGACGAGUUCCAAUUAGGACGAAACACGCGUCCUAGAU
rnacentral:hammerhead_ribozyme from 1 species